AAAAACUUUGUGAAGUUCCGUACAUGUAGUAUAGUGCACAUGCUUAAAGCAGGGCACAAAAGUUUAAAACGAAUUAUAAAUUGUAAUAUCGCAAUUGUUCAAAGCUUUGUUUUUUCGAAAUUGUUAGUUUUAAUUUUUAUGAUCAUUGAUAAGAUUGCAUUGAUAAGUACUGUUUACAGAGACGUUGACCCGUAUGAUGGUUGCCAGAACGUUUGACAUCGGGAUCUGGCCGGUGCCAUGUGCACCCGGGCGUGCAACGUAUGCGGGUUUCUCGGAAACGGCUAUAGCGAUUUUGAUGAAAUUUUGUAUUCAGACAAUGUUUUGCAUUCUAAGGUUAUCUAAAGAGGUGUUAUGCCCGCGAAUGUUCGUAUAAGGUUACCAUCUAUUCCAAAAUAUUUAUAAAUUAAAUGUUAUUAUAUUAAACGAGCAAUUCUUGUACAUAUGUAAAUAUACAUACAUAUGUAUGUUUAUAUUAUAUCCAUAGGUUUCUCGGAAACGGAUCCAACGAUUUUGACGAAAUUUUGUAUGCAGAUAAUAUUUUGCAUUAUAAGGUUAUCAUCAUGGGUUGCAACCAUUUUCCAUGUCGUAUUUAUUUAAAUUAUUGUUUAGAAAAUAAAGAAACACAAUUACCCUUCAUCAGCACUAAAAAGCAAACAAUCCUUAAAAAAUGUAUAACGCGUCUAAAGCGAUACGAGCCGUGUGCAGACUGACAUUGCGUGCACGUUCAUUUUGUUUCACUGAAAACAUGUGGUACUCCUGCAAGAAGCCUGACCUAUGAUUAUCGGUUAAAUUAGUGGGAAAACUUCGAUAGCAAUUAGGGAAGACAACGAUUAGUUCGAUUAGUUAGUAAUUCGUAAGGUAAUUGUGUCUGAAUUACUUACAAAUGAGGUAGGUAAUUCGCUCUCAAAAUUUUGUGUGGCGAAUUAAAGCUCAGUUAGUCUAGACUUAACUUAAUUUAACUUUCCGUAAGAAAUCAUCAAUUAUUACUCAACACGUGAAUUUAGGCCAACAGCAGAAAUAUUUUGUUUUUGCAUUUUUUUUCAGCUGU
rnacentral:lncRNA from 1 species